UAAAAGCUAAACUCCUACAACUCCUUCACACGCACACAUAAUAUAAGAAUUCCUUGUCAUUGUGUUUUCCGUUCCAGUGUCGGAAUACAAUUUCCACAGGAAAAAGGGAAAAGAGAUACAGAAAUGGCGUUGAGGCUGAGCUCAAGAGACGUAUCUGGAUUCAAAUUCCUCUUCUUUCUAGCGACCAUCUUCAGUCUCAUAUCGGUUCUUGUUUACUCCGCAAUUCACAUGAAAUUCAUCAAGCCUCUCGAGAUCGACGCCCCUCUCGAUCGCUUCUCCGAGGCCAGAGCCAUCCAACAUGUUGCAGUUCUAACCAAAGACGACCGUCAGGAAGGGCGUCCUGGAUUAAGAAAAGCGGCAGUGUAUAUUAAAGAACAGUUAGAAAUGCUAAAGGAGAGAGCUGAAUCCAAUAUCAGAAUUGAGGUUGAAGAGGCAGCUGUUAAUGGUACAUUUAAUAUGAUAGUUCUAGGGCACAGCAUGUCUUUCGCUUAUAGAAACCAUAUAAAUAUUGUUGCCAGGAUAUCAUCAGCAGAUUCGCAAGAAACUGACCCGUCUGUUUUAAUUAAUGGCCAUUUUGAUAGUCCUCUUGGUUCACCAGGAGCUGGUGAUUGUGGUUCAUGUGUUGCAUCAAUGCUGGAAUUAGCUAGAGUUACUGCAGAAUCGGGCUGGAUUCCUCCUCGGCCCAUUAUUUUUCUUUUUAACGGCGCUGAAGAACUUUUUAUGUUGGGCGCACAUGGCUUCAUGAAGACACAUAGGUGGCGUGAUUCAAUUGGAGCUUCUAUAAAUGUGGAAGCAUCUGGGACAUCUGGUCCUGAUUUAGUCUGCCAAUCUGGACCUGGGUCUUGGCCUUCUCAAGUAUAUGCAGAGUCUGCAGUAUAUCCCAUGGCACAUAGUGCUGUUCAGGAUGUCUUUCAUGCUAUUCCUGGAGAUACAGAUUAUAGAAUAUUUUCCCAUGAUCACGGAAACAUUCCAAGCCUGGAUAUUAUCUUUCUUCUUGGUGGUUAUUACUACCAUACAUCCUAUGAUACAUUGGACAAAUUACCGCCUGGGAUCAUGCAAGCACGUGGAGACAAUUUGUUCAGCAUCCUGAAAGCCUUCACAAAUUCUUCUAAGCUACAAAGUGCUCGAGAAAGAGAAUAUCUUGAAGCUUCAAUCAAUGACUACAAGGAUGAGAGGGCUGUUUUCUUUGAUUUCUUAUCAUGGUUCAUUAUAUUCUAUUCAAGAAGGGUAGCUCUGGUACUUCAUAGUAUUCCCACUGUCAUUUUUCUUGUCAUGCCAUUCCUUUUGCACUUUUGGGAUUCUAGGUCACGUUCUUGUUUCGCAACCUUCUAUGAUUUUGUGAAAGGAAUGCUUUUCCAUGCUGCUGGAAUUAUAUUGGCUAUUAUUUUCCCAGUUAUCUUUGCCACUGUGAGACUGUUCUUCACUAGUUAUGCGAUGAGCUGGUUUGCACGUCCAUACCUGGCAUUCCUGAUGUUUGUCCCAAGCUCAAUUGUUGGUUUGCUGAUUCCAAGAACUGUUUGGGGUUGUCCCCCCCCCUCUCAAGAUGUUUCAGUCAUCAAUAAAUCAGAGGCUCUAUCUGAAGAAGCAAGGUUUUGGGGAGCAUUUGGAUUUUAUGCUUGCAUAACUUCGGCCUAUCUGGUAGCUGGGCUCGGUGGAGGGUUUCUCACCUUUGUUGUUUUGGCAUCUAUGCUUCCUGCAUGGAUCUUCUUUUCCCUAUCUGUCAAGUCCUAUGAUCAUCAUCAAUCACCCAGGCCAGCAGUUUUUUAUGUAAUACCUCUAAUUCCAUGUCUCACUUACUCAGCAUAUUUUAGUGGAUUUGUAAUCCAAUUUUUGAUCGAGAAGAUGGGUAUGAUAGGUUUUCUCCCACCUCCCUAUGGGUAUUAUGUUGCUGAUGUUUUCGUGGCAGCAACAAUUGGCGUUGCAACUGGUUUGUGUGUGGGCCCAAUAAUACCUGUGUGUAGUCACUGGUUAGCUCGGUCUUCAAUCUUGCAGCUCUUGUUGCAUGUUAGUGUGCUUGCUCUGGCUUUGUCAUCUCAGUUCUUUCCAUACAGCAAUCUUGCACCAAAGAGGGUUGUUUUUCAGCAUACACUUGUUACUACAGAUGCGAAUAGGAUUGUGAACUCCAGCUAUGGAUUUUCUGUUUUAGAUUCCAAUUCUUUAACAUUUCUUUUCAAAUAUGCUCCUGAAGUGGCAAAGGGACUGCAUAUGGGCCAAGAGUUAUCUUUGGAAACUGCUGAUAUGUCUCCCCGAGAGACCUGGUUGGGAAUUUUUCCGGUGUCUCUUUUGUUUUCGCAAAGCUUAAAGUUCCCUGCAAGGAGUGAUGGUGUUUUUAAACAAUAUAGAUAUUUCCCCUACUUAUCUACUUACAAGCCACAUACCAUCUCUAACGAUAGAUCUCGGAGAGUUUACUUGGAAUUUUCCUUGGGUGAUUUGGAGGAGGUUUGGGUUGCAGUCCUUAACAUCACCGGUCCUUUAUCAAGCUGGUCAUUUGCAGACAACAAGCUUCCAGAUCCUGAAACAGUGGAAGGUGGUCCGCCAUCCUACAUAUUGAGACUUAGUGGAUCCAGCCAAGCAAACUGGACUUUCUGGUUAGAGGCCAGCAGUUCUGAUGAUUUAAGGGUGGAAGUUGCUGUGGUAGACCAAGUUUUAGAUGAUGAAGCACAGAGGUUGAAAGGCCUUUUCCCAGACUGGGCUGAUGUCACUGCUUAUUCUAGCUUUAUGUCCAGCUACAUUUUCUAAUCCUCUGGAUUUUUGAACUUCCAGUGUAUAAAGUUUGCCCGAAAAUUAUAUAGACCCAAAUGUUCAGCUGUCAUUAGUUCGACGAACGAUCAACCAAGAACUACAAACACCAAUAUUAAUCGAAUCAUCUUCAACUGGUUUCA